rnacentral:lncRNA from 10 species
GUUACAGAACCGAACUGGGGUCCACUCGCUAGGCCUACCUAGGUGCCUGGAAUUUCCCUUCGAGGAACGCAGGAGUUUUCUUUAUUUUCAUGCUUGGGAAGGCUCAUUAGGCCCCUAAGAGAGGGUCCCUUCCCCAUCUCAGGACUAAAAUGCAAUGAAGAUGUUGCUCAGGGAGGGACAUUCCACUUUUUAAAUCAGCUUUCUGAAGCAUGAUCUCCAUAUAAUCACCUAGAAGCGUACAGCACAAUGAUCUUGACAGAUGCCAGCAUCCUUGGAACCACUGCCACCACCAACGUCUCAAACCAUUCCAUCAAACCCAGAACACUCCUGGUGCCCUGAAGCGUCUCCCUUCAGUGGCAGAACCAGCAGAGAUUCAGUGGUCACAAGGCUGGUCUGGAACUCCUGGGUGCAAGCGAUCCUUCCACCUCGGCCUCCCAAAGUGCUGGGAUUAGAGGCAUAAGCCACCGCGCCCAGCCAGGAAUGGAUUUUCU